CUUCAUUGAGGAAUUUACAAAAAGUUCAACAGCCAUUCAAUUCUCGAUCGGUGGACGAUCUUCUUGCAUUUUUGGAUAAAUCAGAGGCAGAGGAAAAUGAUUCUUUUAUAUGUGUUGUCAUUCAUAACAUUGAUGGGCCUGGGUUAAGAGAUUCUGAAAGCCAACAGUAUCUUGCUCGAAUUGCUUCUUGUUCGAAUAUCCGUACCAUUGCCACUGUUGACCAUGUCAAUGCACCUCUCUUGUGGGACAAGAAGAUGGUUCACACACAAUUUAACUGGUAUUGGUACCAUGUUCCCACCUAUGCACCAUAUAAGGUUGAAGGAAUCUUCUUUCCUUUGAUUCUUGCACACAGCAAUACAUCCCAGAGUGCCAAAACAGCUGCAAUAGUUUUACAGAGUUUGACACCCAAUGCUCAGAGUGUGUUCAAAAUUCUUGCAGAAUAUCAACGGUCGCACCCUGAAGAAGAAGGCAUGCCUUUUGAUAAUCUAUAUACAAUCUCCAGAGAGCGCUUCCUUGUGAGUAGCCAGG
rnacentral:misc_RNA from 1 species